GGCUCCAGGCUCCAAGCUGGAAUGAAAAGACCCAGAUAUGGGGUUCAAACCCAUGAAGUGUGAGAUCAUGACUUGAGCUGAUGUCUGAUUCUUAAUCGACAGACACCCUGCCCCUCCCUGUUCUUAUUUUUGCUUCCCUUAUGUUCAUCUGUUUUGUAUCUUAAAUUCCUCCUAUGAGUGAAGUCGUAGGCCAUUUUCUUUCUCUAAUUUUUUUUUAUUUUCUAGUAAGACUAAAUUUAUUCAAUACCCUAAUAAAAGUUUUGAUUAUAAGUAUCCAACAGUAUAAAAAGUACAAAACAGAUUUGUAGAUUUCUAAUAUAUUAAUACAAAGUGCAUGACUACAUAUAGUACAUCCUACAGGCAAAGAGGUGGAAGGGGAAAAAGAAGGCUGUGGUUGAGGUCUGGUAAUAAAUGAAUACAGAAGUAGAGAUGAUCCAUAUUAUAGUAUAUUCUACCACCAAUACUGUAGCCAAAAUGUACAAAAAAAUAAAAAAAAAACCAUUUGGAAACAACAGGAGGAAUAUGAUAAUGGCUGGGACUCUUGUAAUUCACCUCAGAAGCUGUGGGAGAGCCAACCCAACUCAUGGUGUAAUCUGUGCAUAUGGUGGCUUGUAGUUUUUGCCAUAAGGAAGAAAUAUAAAAUUUUAAGUUUAGAUUAAGAAUUAUAAAACUAUAUGGUGCCCAGAUUGGAAGAGCA